CUGUGUGUCUUUGGUUGACUUGGACCAGGUUGGCCUGGAACUCACAGAAAUUCACCUCUGUCUUCCAAGUGUUAAGAUUAAAACUGUGUGCCAACCACCCCGUUCUGAAGUCCCCAUGUUAGCUGUGAGCCCUGAGGAUCAUGUGCAAUUGUCUAUACAAUGAGGACAUACGGUCUGAGGGGCCAGGAGAGAAAGCUCCCAGCACUAGAUACACUUAGGGUACCUGCUGUCUUCUCUUCCUUUUCAGCUGAAGGCUGGCCCUGUCUACCUACACACACACACACACACACACACACACACACACACACACACACACACACCCAUCAUUCAGACUGCAGGGCCUGGAAGGCUGUCUGUGGUCUAUGCAGGUCUCACUACUGUCUGGGAAAGGAAACAGCACAGCAAGCCCCUUGCUUUGGGCAAAGGCCUCCCCACUCCAGCUCACAGUCCCCUCCCUGGUCCCCAGGAGGACUCUCUGCUGGCUCUGGACCCCAGUCUUCACACCAGGGCUCUGCAGCAGCCAUAUCACUGGAGCUGGUAGUGGGAAGGAUCCGAGCCUCUCCCAGGACUUCUGCAUUUGCCGGCCUUUGCCUGAGCUGGGGAGGUGGGCUCCUGACUAAGUGGGCCUCUGCUUACGGUCUGCAGGGAGGCAGGCCUGGUUCAACUGGAAAUGUAGAUACCAGGGGCCUACGAGAGGGAGAGAAGGGAGACUAGCUACCUGAUUCUCCUGGAAGCUAAGGGACCAGGUCUCCCCCCUUCCUGUCCCCUGGAUGUCCUUGAAGCUAUUUUUAUGUGUUGCUGGAAACCAGAAUUACAGCCAGAGCUGAGGUGCUGGGAGGUUUCCCGGGCGCUCUGGGUCUUGCCUCAGGGAGCAAGGGCCUUUACGGGAAGAUUGGUGGAGGUGGGCCAGGAAUCCACAGUGCAGGCCAUGGAGCGCACCAUGAGCUGGUCCCGGUUCACACAGGAAUCCUGUGAACUGGUACUGAAGCCCAAGGACUUGAUCUAGGGAUGGAAGAACCACUGGGCAUGAAGGAUAGGUGGAAAAGCCUGUCCCUUGGCAAGGCACACAUGAUGCCAGAAUGACAGCAGCGACGGCGCCAGCAGCCGCGGACGCCGGAAGCCGCGGACGUCGGAAGCCACUGACACCGGAAGCUGCUUCGCGUUUCUCAGAAUGGCUCGUGAAUCCAACUCUCACCUUCUCCCCACUUUAUGGGUGAGGACCUCGGACUCAAAAGCUAUACCUGGCUUUUGAAUAGACUGGAGGCCGGGGAAGUUUCUCAUGAUCCCUGCUUGAAGUGGGGUGGGGGCUAGCCCCGGCUGUUGUUGAGGUGAGGCAUGGCGGCUCUUCCUGGAGGAGGCCGAGGCUGGUCAGGACUUGGGUGGGGCUAGGCAGGCCGCUGGGAAGCCACUUCCUGCAUGCUCUUCCCCAGUACGGCUUCCUUCCAGACCCUUCCUGUUUCCUUUUCCUCACUGCUCAGCCAAGCGAUUGUCUCCCUCAGCCCUCUCUGGGCCUGCCCAGGCAGGAUGUGGAGGCAGGAGGUUCGGUUUACAAAAGUCAAGUGUGGAUUAAACACCGUGAACUACA